rnacentral:rRNA from 1 species
GACGAACGCUGGCGGCGUGCUUAACACAUGCAAGUCGAACGGAAAGGCCCUGCUUUUGUGGGGUGCUCGAGUGGCGAACGGGUGAGUAACACGUGAGUAACCUGCCCUUGACUUUGGGAUAACUUCAGGAAACUGGGGCUAAUAACGGAUAGGAGCUCCUGCUGCAUGGUGGGGGUUGGAAAGUUUCGGCGGUUGGGGAUGGACUCGCGGCUUAUCAGCUUGUUGGUGGGGUAGUGGCUUACCAAGGCUUUGACGGGUAGCCGGCCUGAGAGGGUGACCGGCCACCUUGGGACUGAGAUACGCCCCAGACUCCUACGGGAGGCAGCAGUGGGGAAUAUUGCACACUGGGCGGAAGCCUGAUGCAGCAACGACGCGUGCGGGAUGACGGCCUUCGGGUUGUAAACCGCUUUCGCCUGUGACGAAGCGUGAGUGACGGUAAUGGGUAAAGAAGCACCGGCUAACUACGUG